rnacentral:lncRNA from 1 species
GGGAGUUAAGACAAUAUUUUGGAGGAAAUGGUUAAACGAGGCCUAAAAUUAAACAAUUAUAUUCAAAGAAAGACUCAUAACCCAACGUUCAAUUCUUGGAUGAUCAUAUCUAUAUAUAAUUAUAUAUAUGGCAUAUCAUAUAGGUAGCCAUAUAUCCAUAAUGUUCAAUGUCACCUUCUUUGCCUUGAGUUCAUAUCAUGUGGGAGCUAAGAUAAUGUUUUGGAGCAAAUUGGUAAACGAGGCCUAAAAUUAAACAAUUAUAUUCAAAGAAAGACUCAUAUGCAAAUACAACCAAUAAGGUAGACACAAUAAAGUACGAAAAAACAAAAAGAAGAAAAAAUUACAAAAACAUUUGUGAGACCCAGAAUCGAACCGGUGACUCCAUGGGCUACACCAACAUACCAAACUGUUGCGCUACUCAUGUUGUUAUGUUUAAUAACCAUAUACAUAUUAUUUGAACAUUGUAGAAACCUAGCCAUCCGAUUAAUCCAUUGAUUCCCCCCUUGCAAAACUUCCUCUUCCCUCAAAAUUUUUCCACUAAUCCCACCACCCCGUGAAAUCUCCCCUCCAUAUUUCCUAACAAAACCAACUGAAAGGCCGGCACUCUACCCCUAAAUCCCGCAC